rnacentral:lncRNA from 1 species
AAAGGAGUCUCUUCCUGGCUGCCUUCAGAUCAAGAUGUAGAACUCUCAGCUCCUUCUCCAGCCCCAAAUCUGCCUGGAUGCCGCCAUGCUUCCCAUCAUUUUGGUAAUGGACUGAACCUCUGAAACGGGUUCAGUGUGUGUGUGUGUGUGCCAUAGCACACAUGUAAAGGUCAGAGGACAACUUAUGGGAGUCAGUUUUCGACCCAUGGGUCUUGGCGAUUGAACUCAAGUUGUCAAGCUUAGCAGCAAAUACCUUAACUUACUGAGCCAUCCUGAUGGCCCAAACUAUUUUUAACAGUUCUGCUGUUGAAGUUCAGUAUUUACCAGAAUACUACCUUAUUUUAUGUGGAUAGUUGGAUGAUUUUUAAUAAUUUGCAGAGUUAGGAAAUAGCAUUGCAACCCAAGUUUAGACCAUCUUUAUUAUCCAACAGACCCUUUCCUGCCACCUGCCAUCAAUUGAUUGCCCCGAGCCUGGCUCGGAUGGUCACUGACCUUCCUUCCACCUUUGUAAGCUUGCCUUUUCUGGGCUUUCCCCAGCAGCAGGAUCAUCUGACAGGUCCUUUCCAUGCUUGACUUCUUUCACCUUGUGUGGUAUUCUGUGGUUGCAGGGCUCUGAACCUUGUUGCUUUGUGCUAUGGUGACACCUGCUUUUGCUCUUGCUCAAGAGAGAGGACAAGCAGCUGGAGCUAUCCAUGUUCUGCACCAGAAACAGCCCCACCGGGAACUGCCACACCCACUCCAGUAGGGACACUCGUGACAGGCCUAAAACCCUGGACGCAGUCCUGAGGCGAAAGGUUAAUGGAAACUUAGCCUCCUGGAACCUUGACAUUCCCAUAGCACGCAUGCUCCAAACCUGUCUCCGUGUUAGUCUGCUGUAUGGAUCCGUGUGUGAAUGAACGGGUGUGAGUUUGUGUGUGAGCCUUGUAUUUGUAUAUAUGUGUAUGAUUGUAUGAGUGUUUGUAUAUUGUUUACAUAGGAAUAUGUGUUUUUGUGUGUAUAUGUAUGAGUAUGUGUUUGUGUGUGUUAUACAUGUAUGGUUUUGUGUGUUAGCCAUAUAUGAGCAUGUGUGUUUGUGUGUGUUGUAAAUAUGUGUGUAUUAUGUAUAUGUACGAACAUGCGUUUAUGUGUUAUGUAUGUGUGUGUAUGAGCAUGUGUUUGUGUGUUAUGUUUGAGUGUAUGUGUGUGAGGAGCAUGUGUUUGUGUGUAUGUGUGUGUGAAGAACAUUUGUUUGUGUGUGUGAGAGCAUUUGUCUCUAUGUAUCUGUAUGAACAUGUUUGUGUGUUUGUGUAUAUGUAUGUUUGUGUGUGAGGAGCAUGUGUUUGUGUGUAUGUGUGGGCAACUGACUCUAUGUAUGUCUAUGAGAUUGUGUUUGUGUGUAUCUUAUAUAUGAACAUGUGUUUGUGUGUUGGGUAUGUAUGUAUAUUGUAUAUGUGUGUAUAACUGUAUAUGCUGUGUGAGGAUGUGUUUGUGUGUGUGUGUGUGUUGUUUAUAUGUAUGUGUGCAUGUGUGUGUGUGCCCUUUCAUGGACCUUUAGAAGCAAGAGACAGCAACAGUUAAGCUUUCUUUCCAAUAUUUCUGAGCCACAUGCUGCUGCACUGAGCAUCUUCUAAGCUGAAAGAAAAUGAUCUUGUGGAGAAAGAAGUCAGAACGGCGGGAGGAUGUGAUUUAUGGAGUCUGACUCCAGUUGACAUGGUACAUGGCACUGGCAAAGAAGCCUACUUCUAAGUGUCGAGGAAAACAAGAUGGUUCACAGAGUUUGAGAGCUUGGCCGCAGCUCUGAGAAGUAACCUAACAGGGAGGGAACUGGCUGCCGUCUCUGGGUGUCAUAAUUCCGUUUUCCUUAUGGAUGAAUAAAAUUCCAUUGUGUCUUUA